rnacentral:rRNA from 1 species
CAGUCGCCGCGGUAAUACGUAGGUGGCAAGCAUUGUCCGGAAUUAUUGGGCGUAAAGGGCUCGCAGGCGGUUUCUUAAGUCUGAUGUGAAAGCCCCCGGCUCAACCGGGGAGGGUCAUUGGAAACUGGGAAACUUGAGUGCAGAAGAGGAGAGUGGAAUUCCACGUGUAGCGGUGAAAUGCGUAGAGAUGUGGAGGAACACCAGUGGCGAAGGCGACUCUCUGGUCUGUAACUGACGCUGAGGAGCGAAAGCGUGGGGAGCGAACAGGAUUAGAUACCCGGGUAGUCCCUGUCUCUUAUAC